UCGACGAACUCUGGUAUUGAUUGGUGCUUGCAUCAUGAUUUACAUUUGAGUGAGUGGCGAACUGGUGAGUAACACGUGGGAAACCUGCCCAGAAGCGGGGGAUAACACCUGGAAACAGAUGCUAAUACCGCAUAACAACUUGGACCGCAUGGUCCGAGUUUGAAAGAUGGCUUCGGCUAUCACUUUUGGAUGGUCCCGCGGCGUAUUAGCUAGAUGGUGGGGUAACGGCUCACCAUGGCAAUGAUACGUAGCCGACCUGAGAGGGUAAUCGGCCACAUUGGGACUGAGACACGGCCCAAACUCCUACGGGAGGCAGCAGUAGGGAAUCUUCCACAAUGGACGAAAGUCUGAUGGAGCAACGCCGCGUGAGUGAAGAAGGGUUUCGGCUCGUAAAACUCUGUUGUUAAAGAAGAACAUAUCUGAGAGUAACUGUUCAGGUAUUGACGGUAUUUAACCAGAAAGCCACGGCUAACUACGUGCCAGCAGCCGCGGUAAUACGUAGGUGGCAAGCGUUGUCCGGAUUUAUUGGGCGUAAAGCGAGCGCAGGCGGUUUUUUAAGUCUGAUGUGAAAGCCUUCGGCUCAACCGAAGAAGUGCAUCGGAAACUGGGAAACUUGAGUGCAGAAGAGGACAGUGGAACUCCAUGUGUAGCGGUGAAAUGCGUAGAUAUAUGGAAGAACACCAGUGGCGAAGGCGGCUGUCUGGUCUGUAACUGACGCUGAGGCUCGAAAGUAUGGGUAGCAAACAGGAUUAGAUACCCUGGUAGUCCAUACCGUAAACGAUGAAUGCUAAGUGUUGGAGGGUUUCCGCCCUUCAGUGCUGCAGCUAACGCAUUAAGCAUUCCGCCUGGGGAGUACGGCCGCAAGGCUGAAACUCAAAGGAAUUGACGGGGGCCCGCACAAGCGGUGGAGCAUGUGGUUUAAUUCGAAGCUACGCGAAGAACCUUACCAGGUCUUGACAUACUAUGCAAAUCUAAGAGAUUAGACGUUCCCUUCGGGGACAUGGAUACAGGUGGUGCAUGGUUGUCGUCAGCUCGUGUCGUGAGAUGUUGGGUUAAGUCCCGCAACGAGCGCAACCCUUAUUAUCAGUUGCCAGCAUUAAGUUGGGCACUCUGGUGAGACUGCCGGUGACAAACCGGAGGAAGGUGGGGAUGACGUCAAAUCAUCAUGCCCCUUAUGACCUGGGCUACACACGUGCUACAAUGGAUGGUACAACGAGUUGCGAACUCGCGAGAGUAAGCUAAUCUCUUAAAGCCAUUCUCAGUUCGGAUUGUAGGCUGCAACUCGCCUACAUGAAGUCGGAAUCGCUAGUAAUCGCGGAUCAGCAUGCCGCGGUGAAUACGUUCCCGGGCCUUGUACACACCGCCCGUCACACCAUGAGAGUUUGUAACACCCAAAGUCGGUGGGGUAACCUUUUAG
rnacentral:rRNA from 2 species